rnacentral:rRNA from 1 species
UGCAUAUCAAUAAGCGGAGGAAAAGAAACUAACAAGGAUUCCCCUAGUAACGGCGAGUGAAGAGGGAAGAGCCCAAGAUUGAAAGCUGGCGUCUUCGGCGUCCGCAUUGUAAUCUCAAGAAGUGUUUUCCGCUUCGGACCAUGCCUAAGUCCCUUGGAAAAGGGCAUCAUAGAGGGUGAUAAUCCCGUACAUGGCAUGGAGCGCCCGAAGCUUUGUGAUACGCUUUCUAAGAGUCGAGUUGUUUGGGAAUGCAGCUCAAAAUGGGUGGUAAAUGCCAUCUAAGGCUAAAUAUUGGGGAGAGACCGAUAGCGAACAAGUACAGUGAUGGAAAGAUGAAAAGAACUUUGAAAAGAGAGUUAAACAGUACGUGAAAUUGCCAAAAGGGAAGGGUAGGAGGUCAGAGAUGCGGCCUGGGAUUCAGCCUUGCUUUUGCUUGGUGUUUUUCCUAGAUUGCAGGCCAACGUCGGUUUUGGGCACUGGAGAAGGGUAGGAGGAACGUGGCACCUCUCGGGGUGUGUUAUAGCCUCCUACUGGAUACAGCGACCGAGACCGAGGACAGCAGCGUACUCGCAAGAGCGGGCCUUCGGGCACCUUUACGCU